UACGGAGGGGGCUAGCGUUGUUCGGAAUUACUGGGCGUAAAGCGAGCGUAGGCGGACCUGCAAGUCGGGGGUGAAAGCCCGAGGCUCAACCUCGGAACUGCCUUCGAUACUGCGGGUCUCGAGUCCGGGAGAGGUGAGUGGAAUUCCUAGUGUAGAGGUGAAAUGCGCAGAUAUCAGGAAGAACACCCGUGGCGAAGGCGGCUCUCUGGGACGGUACUGACGCUGAGACGCGAAAGCGUGGGGAGCGAACAGG
rnacentral:rRNA from 1 species